GACGAACGCUGGCGGCGUGCUUAACACAUGCAAGUCGAACGGAAAGGCCCUGCUUGCAGGGUACUCGAGUGGCGAACGGGUGAGUAACACGUGGGUGAUCUGCCCUGCACUUCGGGAUAAGCCUGGGAAACUGGGUCUAAUACCGGAUAGGAGCCAUUUUUAGUGUGAUGGUUGGAAAGUUUUUUCGGUGUAGGAUGAGCUCGCGGCCUAUCAGCUUGUUGGUGGGGUAAUGGCCUACCAAGGCGGCGACGGGUAGCCGGCCUGAGAGGGUGGACGGCCACAUUGGGACUGAGAUACGGCCCAGACUCCUACGGGAGGCAGCAGUGGGGAAUAUUGCACAAUGGGCGCAAGCCUGAUGCAGCGACGCCGCGUGGGGGAGGACGGCCUUCGGGUUGUAAACGCCUUUCGCUAGGAACGAAGCUUUUUGUGACGGUACCUAGAUAAGAAGCACCGGCUAACUACGUG
rnacentral:rRNA from 1 species